CUUCAAAAGUGGGGUUAGCGAUGGCCAUCAUAUCUUUAAAGACUGGAUAUGUGGUUUUAGCGGAUUUGGGACCAUAUGAUCUGCCCCUUGCCACUCUGGAGAGUGGUACAUAUCUCUGAGGAAGAAAUGACCUAAUUUGUUGUAGGAACCUUUCUUCCAAUACAUUCCCAUUACAUAUCGGUCUGCAUCCUCGGGGCCAGGAUGUUCAAUAUUUAACAUUAAUUUCAUAGGGGUACUUCCUCCAGGCUUUCUUAAAGUCAUUCUUUGAAGGAGGGAUCUACCCUGAUUGUCU